AGCGUGACAUAUGACACUUGACUGCGCAAAACUUUUUUUGUACCUGUUGCGGUUCGGUAGACAGGCGUUUCUAGCGGCUACUCUAAAACAUAAACAAAGUAAAACAUGGAGGAAAUUGGUGAAACAACGUUGCUAAAAGUACAGGAGAUAACGUACAGGAUCAGUCUAGGAAUGCUACAGGAGAUGUUUCGUCUCAGUCGUCGGGUCGUGGGAAUUAUUCUCACCUGUCGGACAGACCCGAACCCCGGAGGAACAGAGUAGUGUUGUUCAACAAAGUCACGAGAAGAGCCUAGAGAAGUUUAUAUCCCGAUGCCAGAAGAUUUAGGAGGAGAACGCUGUGCUGGCUCAGAGGGUGCAGGCGGGCAGGGAAGGAAUCGCUCAGACCGAACAGCGCAUUGCAACAGCCGUGGACGAGUGGAAGGCAUCUGUUAGGGAGUUCCAGACACUCUCUUCCUCCAUCUGCCCACCUGCGUCCUUUGAUGACCCCUGACCCUGAGUACUGCCCUGUCCUAAAGCAGAUUGGCUUUGACCAAUUUGAACCAUAACCCUAACAUGUACAAUUUUUGUAAUUAGAAUACCAGUUCUGUUUUAUUCCUGAGUCUGUGCUUUGUGCUCUGUUUUUGUCAUUAAAUAAACUCCC